AGUGAACGCUGGCGGCAGGCCUAACACAUGCAAGUCGAACGGCAGCACGGCAGUAGCAAUACUGUGGGUGGCGAGUGGCGGACGGGUGAGGAAUACAUCGGGAUCUACCCUGUUGUGGGGGAUAACGUAGGGAAACUUACGCUAAUACCGCAUAAGAACUGAGGUUGAAAGCGGCGGACCGCAAGGCGUCGCGCGAUUGGAUGAACCGAUGUCCGAUUAGCUAGUUGGCGGGGUAAAGGCCCACCAAGGCGACGAUCGGUAGCUGGUCUGAGAGGACGACUAGCCACACUGGAACUGAGACACGGUCCAGACUCCUACGGGAGGCAGCAGUGGGGAAUAUUGGACAAUGGGCGCAAGCCUGAUCCAGCCAUGCCGCGUGGGUGAAGAAGGCCUC
rnacentral:rRNA from 1 species